rnacentral:tRNA from 1 species
GGAAACGUGCCCGAAUUAGGGGCCACCUUGAUAGGGUGUACCAUGGAGGUUAAAGUCCCCCCGUUUCUU